GCUUCAAGCGUUCUUCAGUCAUGGCGGAGCGACGGUUUGCAGUGAACAGCAGCAGCAGGAGGUAUUUUUCUUAGUUAAAACUGAUAUAAAUGCUGUGUUUAGUCGCUGAGCGGGUCGGAGAAAUGUAUUAUAUAUUGUAUUUCCCCUCUGAGUCAAUGUUUCACCUUGUUCAGCUCACUAGAAGCUUAAAACGCUCCUGUUAGCGAGCUGUGCUAAAUAUUUAUGCUAAAUGUAGCGAGUUAGCUAUAACUUUAGCUUAGCUGCGUUAGCUUAGCUAGUUAUUGUGUUUCUCGGUAAAGUCGAGCGGGGAACUUAGCGGUUAGUUAGUUACUUUAUUUGUUAAUUAGACUGUUUAUUACUUUAGUUAACAGUUCGAAUAGUUCAGCGGUCUCUGUGUGAGAAACGCUAUAAACGACCGUGGUCUCGUAUCUGCACUCAGAAUCUGCUCGGUCGCGCUUCUCUACAUCUAAACUGUAUUUACCUGCGCGUCUAAACCAUGCUUAGUUGCUUGUAUAUGGACCAGAAUUUAGAUUUUUUAAAUUAGAACCAUAUUAGAACCACAGCACCAUAAAAUUAUAUAGAGCAUUAAUUUUUCAUAUCCAUUUUUACAUAUUUUUAUAACACCUUUUUGUAGCCAAUGCAUAACGUAAUGUUUGAAAAUGUAGUGGAAACAGUACUGAAAACAGUAAAAUAGUUUAAGUGCAAGGUCUGUAUUUCGAAAAUGUUAUUGUUCUACAGGUGGAUAGUUGUCUUAGUAAGUUGUCUUUAUUAGUUGAUUAGAUCUGGUUAAAUUGUGUCUAUUGAGCUGAAUUAUUUUAUUUAUUUAACAUUUUCGGUCUUUGCAUGAGAAGCACAAGCAGCUUCUCAGUAAGCUCCACUAUGCACCUGGCUACUGUAAAACACUGUUUAAAGUCCAAACUUUGGGUGUAGAUGGUGGAUUUAUCAAUUUUCCAAAAGGACUUCGAUGUUUAAAAAGUAUGUCCGUGUCGAGAAUUAUCCUCCACUCAAAUAACAUCUGCAAACUGGUAUUCCUGGCAGUUGGCAAAAGCUAACAGAUGGUCAGUCUGUAAUUAUAGAAGUACACCUACAUUAUAGAAGUGCACCUAUAUGACCAGUGAAGUUGAUCAAAUAGACAGGUAAGUCAAAUGACAGGGUAUGUGUGAUGAAGUGACUUCUUAUACAUGUAAUAUAAUAUCUAAACAUUAAUAACAAAAUUUGGUGGCUUUCUAAUUACUGUUCUUAUCUUUUAAAAUGUCUCUUAAUUUAAGUACUUAAUUUCCCUGGACUCUUUCGGCAGUCUACUGUGGUCAAGCGACGGAUUUCGAACCCUAAUAAAGUGCCAAAUCUUCAUCACCCACUGAAGAGCUACACUACAUGCAAGCUAGGCUUAGCAUACAGUCCUACUAUGCAUGAGUCCAGAGUGCCGUCCAGGGCCUAGUCAAGAUCCUGUUACCAGUGGCCAACCAGUAAAAUGUGAGGAGGAUUUUCUGGCUGCCGUGUCAAGUGACUUUACCUGUGUGUUUCAAGGGCAACCAUAUUUCAGCAUGGUCUGAAGCAACUCCAGAAAGGCAGCUGAAAACAACUUUCCAUGGUGAGGCUGGCAUUGAUUAUAGUGCACUCAGACGAUUGCAGGAAUAGAACAUCUCUUUGAGGAUGACAGAAAAGGAAAGUCUCCCAAAUACUCACAGAAUGAUUUGGACAGCAGCAAUUUCAAGGCAGUGUUCCUGUGCGCUCCUAGGCGCGAGACUCUGAUGUUGUGGGGUGUUGGUGAAAGCUCCUCACGGUUCUUCAGGAAAAUCCUCUGUACAUGGCUGUUCCUCCCUGGAAAAGAGAUUAAGGUAUGUGCAAAACCAUUAUAUUUUGUAUUUAAUCGAAUACAUUUAAAAAUGCACAUUUAGGUAUUGCAUAGUUUUUAUUUAGCAAUUUCCUUCAAUUAACAUUUUAUUUUAGUACUUUCUUUUGCCUGGUCCAAAGACAAGCAACAAAGAAGUCUGGGAAACAGGUUUGUUCCGUUAUUGUAAAACGUCACAAGAGCAGUGGUUUGAAUGCUGUAGUCUUUGUUAAUGCCCUCCACCUACAGUACUGGAACAUAAAUGUCAUCAAUAGCAAGUAUUAUUCUAAAAUCUAGCAUGUUACUCUAGUGAGUUUAGAAUAAUGCUUGUUAUUGAUGACCCAUUUAUGUUUAAGUACUGAAGGUGGGUGUUCACUGUUAAAUGGAGGACCAUUUAAUGAAAACACUUGUGUACUUUAAAGAAGAAUUCUGGUGUGAAAUUGGGGUAUAGUGAAACAUGACAGAGUAAAACCUUUUUGUCGAGUAACCCACCUCCAGCAUUGUGAAAUACAGCACCUUUAGCCAAUGCUAACUUAAUGUUAGCUUAGUGUUAAUAAUUAGGGCAUAGAAUUGACCAUGCAAAGAAAUCACUAUUUUUAAACCAUUAAGAAGCUCAAAGUAGCUUCCCUUCCCUGGUAGAAUUCCAAGUGCCUCGUUUCAAAUGUGUUAGCUUUGAGCUUCUUAAUGGUGUAAAACAGUAAUAUUGGAAGCCUUUUGGGAGCAUCGGCUAAAAGUGCUGGAAGACAUUACCACCCACUGCGUUGUCCACUGUGGGUGGUAAUGAUGGUAAACAGUGGUGGCUGAAAAGAACUGUGUUAUAAGCGGCUCUGGUAGAAAUUACAUCUAUAUUUAAUAGCAGAGAUAGUACCCCACACAGGAUACUAGUCUCAUGACAUUUGUCAUGUCUGUGCUGAGAAUUUCCCCACCCACAACAAUCCAAUUUUGGUUAUUUUAAAUACUAUAUUCUGUAUGUAAAUAUUCAACAUUAAGUUUACUGGGUAAGAACACAAUGUUUUCCAUUUCAAAUUCAGCCUGAAACCGUUUAGUCCAGCAGCUCAUACCUGUGUGAACUGAAGAGCCUG